AGGUGGAGGAGCAGAAGAAGCUCGACGUGCUCUCUGAUGAGGUGUUGGUCAAUGCCCUUGUCAGCAGCGGCCGCAUCGAGGACGAGGAGGCUUCAUUCGUGGAUCGAAAGCACCAUGGGAAGCGUGUAAAAAACUUCCACUAUAUAUGCCCUGCUCACAAACUUGAUAUGGUUGAGCAAUUUUACUUCUGUUGUUUCUGAUGAAAUGUGUGGCUCAUCAGAGCUAUUCCACAAUUUUGUCCUCACUUAUACCUUUUUACACUUUAUAUGUGUAGCUUCUUUCAAUUUUUUAAGACAUUGUUUUUGUUUUUUAAGUCUUCAUGUGUGCAAAAUUACUUCUGCGGUGAGACGACAUCUGGUGAACUUGACGAGUACUUCCUGAUGGUUGAUGUCCUGGAGAACUAUCGACUUCUGUAGAAGAAAAAAACUAGAGUAUCUUCGGGCUAUAUCCCUGUUUGAUCUAUAAAUGUUCGGCAAAAUCACUUUUCUUAAGAUCACAGUUUUAGUACUCUCCUUGAGGGUGAUUUAUUGCUCUUUGCAUUGAAGUUUUUAGAGUAAUGGCAUUUUAUCUCUACAUUGCUAGCAAAGUGAGGUGCCAGAGAUAAAUGAAACUCCAUGCCAGUGGUGCUGCCUUGAUAAUAAUACAUCCAGAAGAAAGACAUAAGCUCCUCUGUUCUAAUAGCACUUUAUUCUUAUGAAAUCUGGUUUUGAGCAUUUUAUUACGGAGGGCAGCAGGGUUUGUUCAAGGAUCAGAUGUUACUCGUGCUUCUGAAUGCCAUGUUUCAGAGCUGAUAGCACACGCUUCAGAAAUACAAUUGUAGAUGAUGCGAAUAACUUAAGUUUUCUUCAAGCAUCAGUACACUGUAUGCACUAUGAAACAGAUUAGUUUAUAUUCAUGCUGAAUAUAAACAAAAUAGGAUACAUUUAGCUAUUAUUACUUACAGAAAAAAGCUGCAUGAAAGCAAUUAUAUGGAGUUUCAAAUAGGAAAGAAAUCACAAAAGAUCAGUUUUUCCCUUUCCUUUUUAAGCAGCUUUCGUUUCUUGUACCACAUUGCAAAGUAGGGGAACUCUGACUAUAACCAAAUAGUACUUUGCUCUUUUUUUUUUGUGUAUUCUAAACCGUACACUUGUCCAUGCAUAUGAAUUUCAUUAAUUUUAAAUACCAAUACUGGUUUUGAAAAGACUGGUUCAUAUAAUAUGCUUAAUUAUGUUUUGGUUUUUCUGUACCAAGGAAUGAUCCUGGUGAGUGGUUAAAAUAUUUGUUGGCACAUGUGGCUGUGUUAGUGAGAGGUCAAUAUGCAGCCUUUUCCACUAAUUAGCUUGAUUUUGAUAAGUUCAGAUUCUGAGAAGGAAAAGAAAGCCUUCAGGGGCAGAGUAUUCAGGAGGACACCAAUCCAAACCCAUGUCUGAGGCAGCUUGAAAGAAGGUUUGCUGCAGGGAAGAGAUGGAAAGAGCGAAAUAGAGAUGGCAGGGGCGUGAUCUGUUGUAGGUAUCAAGUGAAGUAAUCCUUCCUUCCCUGCUGUUUGUUUUCGCAAGUCUGUUUUGCACAACUCUGUUUGCAGUGCGUGCAGUAACUUACCGAUUGCGUUUUGAGGGUUUUAGGUGUCAAAUAUGACCGAACCAUUAAAAUAAAAGUUGUAUAUCUUUUCAAGACCUUUCCAACGAAUGUUUAUUUCCAAUUUUUCUUCAGGUAUUCUAGGAGAUUUGCCUAUCUGAAAUUACUGUUAGUUUUCGUCAGACUGCAGUUUCAGUCAUGACUUCCUAUUUUGCGGGCGGUUUAAAGUAACUUCAAGGCUGAAUCUGUCCAUGGGGCUAUGGAUGUAUUUUAAGUAUUUGGUGUGAGAUUUCCAUGGAUAAUUUAUUCUCAAUUUUUCGCUGAGUAUAGUGAAAGAUACAACCUUCUGAAUGUGAGAUCUUCCUGAAAUUCUUUCGCCUCGUUAAUUCUGCGUUUUUUAGCAGUGCAGCUGGUCCAUGUUGUACCAUCAGAGUCAUCGAUCUUUGACAGAAUGUAAUGCAUGAGCAGUAUAGUAUUCUCUCAUAUUAUGUGAACCCUCAGAUACCUUUCCAUGAGACUGAAACCAACUGUUUCCCAAAUUCUUA